rnacentral:lncRNA from 1 species
ACCCAAGGCUGUGUGUCCAAAGGCAACUGUACUGAAUACCGGAAAGCAUGUAUUUGUUUGCUAAAUUGCUCUCUUUCCACCAGUGAUAUCAAUUCUGAAAUACUUUUGAGAUCUUGACAAUAAUCAAAAGGUAGCCAGGUGCAUCGGGGAAAGCACUGACAUUGGAGUCAGACAGACUGAAGUUCAUAUCUGAUUCUGCUAUAUGACAACGUG